UGGGUGACCUGCCCCUAGCUCUGGGAUAACUGCGGGAAACUGUAGCUAAUACCGGAUGUGGCACGAGACUGCAUGGUCUUCGUGUGGAAAGAUUUAUCGGCUAGGGAUGGGCCCGCGGUCUAUCAGCUUGUUGGUGGGGUAAUGGCUCACCAAGGCGACGACGGAUAACCGGCCUGAGAGGGCGACCGGCCACACUGGGACUGAGACACGGCCCAGACUCCUAUGGGAGCAG
rnacentral:rRNA from 1 species